rnacentral:rRNA from 1 species
GGAAGUUAAGGUGCUCAGGGUCUUACCGUCGGGCCGUAAUAUUCCACAUAUUCAUGGAUAAUUCUAUUUAUUUGGAGACUCAUACUAGCGACAAUGGGGAAGUCGUUACACCAUUCAUGCAGGUCGGAAUUUACCCGACAAGGAAUUUCGCUACCUUAGGACCGUUUACGAUACAGCCGCCGUUUAUCA